GUAGGUGGCAAGCGUUGUCCGGAAUUAUUGGGGCGUAAAGCGCGCGCAGGCGGUUCUUUAAGUCUGAUGUGAAAGCCCACGGGCUCAACCGUGGAGGGUCAUUGGAAACUGGAGAACUUGAGUACAGAAGAGGAAAGCAGAAUUCCACGUGUAGCGGUGAAAUGCGUAGAGAUGUGGAGGAACACCAGUGGCGAAGGCGGCUUUCUGGUCUGUAACUGACGCUGAGGCGCGAAAGCGUGGGGAGCAAACAGGAUUAGAUACCCUGGCAGUCCACGCCGUAAACGAUGAGUGCUAAGUGUUAGGGGGUUUCCGCCCCUUAGUGCUGCAGCUAACGCAUUAAGCACUCCGACUGGGGAGUACGGCCGCAAGGCUG
rnacentral:rRNA from 1 species